GCGCCCGUAGCUCAACCGGAUAGAGCACCGGCCUUCUAAGCCGGGGGUCGCAAGUUCGAGUCUUGCCGGGCGCACCA
rnacentral:tRNA from 1 species